UACAGAGGGUGCGAGCGUUAAUCGGAAUUACUGGGCGUAAAGCGUGCGUAGACGGUUAUUUAAGUCGGGUGUGAAAGCCCCGGGCUCAACCUGGGAAUUGCAUUCGAGGCUGAAUAGCUAGGGUACGGUAGAGGGAAGUGGAAUUUCCGGUGUAGCGGUGAAAUGCGUAGAUAUUAGGAAGAACACCAGUGGCGAAGGCGGCUCACUGGUCCGGUACUGACGCUGAGGUGCGAAAGCGUGGGGAGCAAACAGG
rnacentral:rRNA from 1 species